AUUGAACGCUGGCGGCAGGCCUAACACAUGCAAGUCGAACGAGUGGCGGACGGGUGAGUAAUGUCUGGGAAACUGCCUGAUGGAGGGGGUAACUACUGGAAACGGUAGCCAAUACCCACUACCCUCAGGUUUGCCCAGAUGGGAUUAGCUUGUUGGGGGGGUAACGGCUCACCAAGGCGACGAUCCCUAGCUGGUCUGAGAGGAUGACCAGCCACACUGGAACUGAGACACGGUCCAGACUCCUACGGGAGGCAGCAGGGGGGAAUAUUACACAAUGGGCGCAAGCCUGAUGCAGCCAUGCCGCGUGUAUGAAGAAGGCCUUCGGGUUGUAAAGUACUUUCAGCGGGGAGGCGUUACCCGCAGAAGAAGCACCGGCUAACUCCGUGCCAGCAGCCGCGGUAAUUC
rnacentral:rRNA from 1 species